GACGAACGCGGCGGCGUGCCUAAUACAUGCAAGUGGGACGCAAGGAAACACACUGUGCUUGCACACCGUGUUUUCUUGAGUCGCGAACGGGUGAGUAACGCGUAGGUAACCUGCCUAUUAGCGGGGGAUAACUAUUGGAAACGAUAGCUAAUACCGCAUAAUAUUAAUUAUUGCAUGAUAAUUGAUUGAAAGAUGCAAGCGCAUCACUAGUAGAUGGACCUGCGUUGUAUUAGCUAGUUGGUAAGGUAAGAGCUUACCAAGGCGACGAUACAUAGCCGACCUGAGAGGGUGAUCGGCCACACUGGGACUGAGACACGGCCCAGACUCCUACGGGAGGCAGCAGUAGGGAAUCUUCGGCAAUGGACGAAAGUCUGACCGAGCAACGCCGCGUGAGUGAAGAAGGUUUUCGGAUCGUAAAGCUC
rnacentral:rRNA from 1 species